rnacentral:lncRNA from 1 species
UGACACAUAGUUUAUUUCGGCAUAUGUUUAUGCUUAUGGGUACAAAAAUUAUAUAGGAAUGCAUUUUGACUAAGUUGUUGAUGAAAGUGACAUAGUUCUAAGCUCAUCACACCAAUCCUGUUCAAGGUAGUUGGAAUUUUAUUUUAAAUAUCAUAAAACCAUAGUUUUAUUCACUCCUCAUUAGCAAUGAAAUUCCUACCAGAGCCAAAAUAUGUAUGUUUGAAACAACCCUUGUGUGAAGCUUGCAUAUGUAUUGAGUUUGGUCAAAUCAUGUAGAUCAUAGUGAGAGUUUUUGUCAUAGUCCUAAGAUCAAGAUCGCACACACCACAUUUCGUGCCACUCCUACACUGGGAGCACACAACAUCCCAUUCCAUCCCACAAAAUAUAGAUGCUCCAUAUGCUCAAUAGUGUAGAAUCUCUAUAUAAGAGUUAAGUAUAGAUGAGACACAAAAGCAGAGGGUAAAAAAAGAGGAAAAAAGGAAAAAAAAUGCUAGCCUUGUCUCAUAGAAACAAAGAAAUAGAGAGAGCAAAGUCAAUAAAGGACCUAUCUAGUCAUCAUUCUCAUAUCCACACACUUGCACAUCUUGAUCUCAGACUAUGACACUCCUCUCCUUAGAUCCUUGCUUUGACUUUACAAUAAAUGCAAUGCAUGAUAUGCUACCUUGCUUUUCCCUACCAAGCUCCACAUAAGGCUGAUAGAUGUAGGACGUAGCAAGAAGGGCUGACAGUUAUGCCUUGGUAAGAUUGCUUUACGAACUGAGGGAUUUGAGAGAGUGAUAAAUGAGGAGUCAGAAUAAACUAUGUACUUUCUUUUGAACUAUCAUAAGAACUCUAAGUACCAAGAAUAGAAGUUUGGGAGCUGAUUUUGUCUUAGGACUGUUCCUCUUAUCAACUUCUCAAGGAAAUCUGCUAGACAAUUACCACAUAACCCAUUUGCAUGAGCUAUGUCCUGAAUACAAUUAUAUGCACCAUGAUCUUUAACUUGUCUCUAACCUUUACUCGAGGACGAGUAAAGACUAAAGUGUGGGGGUGUUGACGGUCCUUAAGUAUCAAAUUUAAUUAUCAAAUAAAUAAAGAAAAGGAUCCAAAUGAAAUCAACAUCUAGACUUAGGGUUUUAUCUGACAGAAUUCCACGAGUUUUGGUGUUUGUCUAUUUCUGCAGGGGGUUAUCAGGAAAUAUGUAAGAAAGGCCCAC